GGAAAGCACCGAAGAGCUGUGAACCUGACCCAAGCACAUCUCCCCUCCAGGCUCCUUGCAGCAAGAAGCCCUGCUCCAGUCUGUGCCAGGAAAAGACAGCUACGGGGAUGUAACCUCAGGCUUCAACAUCCUCUGGCAUUUUGCUUCCAGAACUCCUACGUUUGUUCAGGUCUCCCUACGUUAGAUCACAUCCCUGAACUGGAUCACAGACUGGUCACCCAAGAAGAUGGACCAACACAAAAAGGACUGUGGUACAGAGAAGAGAAGUUAAAAAAAAAAAAAAAAAAAAAAAAGGCAGAGGGAUUCCUGGAUUAUUGGAAACCACAACAGCCUCAAAAGUCUCUGUAACAUGAAACUGCAGAUAAGGUUGGUCAUAGCCCGUGACGUGCAGCUGACGGCUGAGCCCAUGGGAGAAGAGCCUCCCAGCAGCAUUGUGCAAGGGGCUGAUACCGCGUCCUCCUAAAUCUUGGAGGGCUGAAGCUUAUUUGUACAACAAACAAGGCUUGACUGGAGUUUACCGUGCAGAAUUGUGCCUCUGUAACACAGUUCAGCUGUGUGUAUAUUUCAUAGCAAAGAAAAUAUAGUGAUGACUUCCACUAGGUUUCUUCAUCAGUGGCCAUUGCAUUAAUGCUAAAUGUUUGUGUGACUUGUUUGGGUUAAAAGAAGUGCAUUGGACAGGAUUCUGAAUAAAUGUAAAUUAGAAGUGACUCA
rnacentral:lncRNA from 1 species